AGUCUGGAGUGAAAGGCGACGGCUCAACCGUCGACGCGCUUCGGGAACUGGGGGACUUGAGGGCAGGAGAGGCGAGCGGAAUUCCCGGUGUAGCGGUGAAAUGCGUAGAGAUCGGGAAGAACACCAGUGGCGAAGGCGGCUCGCUGGACUGGCCCUGACGCUGACGCGCGAAAGCGUGGGGAGCGAACGGGAUUAGAUACCCCGGUAGUCCACGCCGUAAACGAUGGGCACUAGGUGUGGGAGGUAUCGACCCCUCCCGUGCCGGAGUUAACACACUAAGUGCCCCGCCUGGGGAGUACGGCCGCAAGGUUGAAACUCAAGGGAAUUGACGGGGGCCCGCACAAGCAGUGGAGCAUGUGGUUUAAUUCGACGCAACGCGAAGAACCUUACCCGGGCUUGACAUCCCCGGAACACCCGAGAGAUCGGGUGGCUCUACGGAGCCGGGAGACAGGUGCUGCAUGGUUGUCGUCAGCUCGUGUCGUGAGAUGUUGGGUUAAGUCCCGCAACGAGCGCAACCCUUGUCCCGUGUUACCAGCGUAAAGGCGGGGACUCACGGGAGACUGCCGGUGACAAACCGGAGGAAGGUGGGGAUGACGUCAAAUCAUCAUGGCCCUUAUGUCCGGGGCUACACACGUGCUACAAUGGCCGGCACAGCGGGAUGCGAAGGGGCGACCCGGAGCGAAUCCCUGAAAGCCGGUCCCAGUUCGGAUCGCAGGCUGAAACCCGCCUGCGUGAAGCCGGAAUUGC
rnacentral:rRNA from 1 species